UUGACCUCGGAUCAGUUA
rnacentral:rRNA from 1 species